rnacentral:tRNA from 1 species
GCCCCGGUGGCGCAGAUGGAUAGCGCAGUCCCCUCCUAAGGGACAGGUCACAGGUUCGAAUCCUGUUCGGGGCA